rnacentral:rRNA from 1 species
AGAGUUUGAUCCUGGCUCAGGACAAACGCUGGCGGCGUGCCUAAGACAUGCAAGUCGAACGGGGAGCCUUCGGGCUCUUAGUGGCGGACGGGUGAGGAGCGCGUGGAGAAUCUACCCUGGGGUGGGGAAUACCCGCCAGAAAUGGCGGUUAAGACCGCAUACGACCCGCUGGCGCCGGCUGGCGGGGGAAAGCCGCAAGGUGCCCUGGGCGGACUCCGCGUCGGAUUAGCUAGUUGGUGGGGUAAUGGCCCACCAAGGCGACGAUCGGUAGCCGGCCUGAGAGGGCACACGGCCACACUGGCACUGAAACACGGGCCAGACUCCUACGGGAGGCAGCAGUGGGGAAUCUUGCACAAUGGACGAAAGUCUGAUGCAGCGACGCCGCGUGAGCGAUGAAGCCCUUCGGGGUGUAAAGCUCUUUCGGCAGGAACGAUAAUGACGGUACCUGAAGAAGAAGCUGCGGCUAACUACGUGCCAGCAGCCGCGGUAAUACGUAGGCAGCAAGCGUCGUUCGGAAUUACUGGGCGUAAAGAGUGUGUAGGCGGUGCUCUAAGUUUGGUGUGAAAUCUCCCGGCUCAACUGGGAGGGUGCGCCGAAAACUGGAAUGCUUGAACAUGGGAGAGGAAAGCGGAAUUCCUGGUGUAGCGGUGAAAUGCGUAGAUAUCAGGAGGAACACCUGCGGUGUAGACGGCUUUCUGGACCAUUGUUGACGCUGAGACACGAAAGCGUGGGUAGCAAACAGGAUUAGAUACCCUGGUAGUCCACGCCCUAAACGAUGCAUACUUGGUGUCGGCCAUUCAGUUGGUCGGUGCCGGAGCUAACGCGUUAAGUAUGCCGCCUGGGGAGUACGUUCGCAAGGAUGAAACUCAAAGGAAUUGACGG